CGGCCCGCGGGCGGCCCCGCCGCCCCGCCGGCCGGCCUCCUCUGUUUUUGUUUUGAUGGAGCCCGCGUGCAGCUGGCGCGUGUCGAGUCACGUGCCAGGGGCGGGAGGGGGCUGGGGCGCGGGAGGCGAGGGCGCGGUGACGCACGCGUCCGGAGGGCCUGCCGCGGGGCUAGGGGCGAGGGGGCGUGUGCCCCAGGCAGAUCCCGGUGGUGCAGGGUGUCGAGGCCGCAUCUGGUGGGGUUCGUGGGAGUUGAUGCUCGGUAAGCCUUAUUCGGACGUGGGUGUGAAUCCCACUGCACUUCUAGCUCGUCGUCACGGCAUCUAGGCGAGCCUCAUCGAUCCGGGCGGGGGCCCGGCGUGCGCUGGUUCGGUCCAAGAUGGAGCAGACCUUACCGGCGUGUGUAUUUUCUGCGGGCACGUAGAGACCUGUAUGUCGUGCUUAAUCCUGGCUGCAAGUUAUAAACAACUUGAGAAAGACACCUAUGCGUGGCCCAAUCCCAGACUGAUUGACCCCAAAUCCAAAUAGGGCUUGGACGGUAGAGUAUUUAGAAAAAAACCUUUCUCCGUGUGUUUGAUGCACAGUGAGGGGCGAGAACUUACAGAGGUCGCCGGCUUGAUGGCAUAGAUGUUUGUGAAACGAUCUGUAGGGAGGAAAUAGUAAAAAUAGCUUAAAUAGUUAACACGUAUUAACACUAGAUGGGUCACUGUCUGCACUGUGGCGACGCGGGUAUGGAUAUUUGAUGAAACAUUGUCGUCCCCAUUUUACAGCUGGGAAAUUGAAAUUCACGAGGAGUGGUAAGAGUUGGUCAGUGAUGAUACCUGAUUAGUACCCAGGGAGGCUGACUCCAGACCUCAUGCUUUAGACCAUUGCAUAUGCUGCAUCUGAAAUAACACCUUGACCUAAGGGCCAUGAAUUUGAGUGAAUAGGAAUACUUACAUGUUUGCCCACGAUCCCGCGAGUGUAUGUGCGUAUGUUUAUAUAUAUAUUUUUUAUGUACGAAGUUUUACUGGUAUUGUCGGGGGGAUAGGGGAGAAUCACUUGGUGAAUUCGUUAAGGCCUAUAGGCUACUAAUAUUUACAUGAAGUUUAUUGUGUAGAGAGAGGGAUCCGAGUAAUGUGAAGAGGACCGAUUCUGUGGAAGUUUUUUGUUUUGCUUUUGUUUUGAGGCUUGAACAUGGCGUUUGUGAAGUGAAGAGUCUGGAAGGUGCAGAUAUUUUCUAAGGAUUUACAUGAGCAGCCACAACAAGCCCCUUCGGUUCUUACUAAUGACUGCUGUCUAGUAUUGUUAGCUGUAAAGCAGACAUAGGCAUAUUAUCAAGUUUUAGGGAUUGGUUUUCAUGUGGCUUGCAGUUUGGGUUAGAAAAGUUUAUAGACCCACUGAGGCAAGCCGGACACAAAUAUGAGUGUCAUGGGUCUGGCAUGGAAAUGAUCUCUCUCCUUCUCCUGUCAUCCCUGUCCUUCUUAAGCCACCAAGAACACUUUUCUCCAGCAUUGCCUAACCAGUUGUGGUUCAUUUGCACAGCUCUGCACAGGUUGUUCCUCUGCUUCUUGAGUACCUGGUUCCAAAUUUCCCCUGGUUUCUGUUCAGAAAACAUUUAAAUACCCUCCCUGUGUCACCGCUGUGUUCUGUAUGUAUCUGUGUUGCUGCAUGUUUUACAACACAGGGUAUUUUUGUUUACGUGUUAGACAGUCUGACUAAAUCCAGCUUGUCAAAGGUGCUAAUGGUGAUUCUUUGUAUAUCACUGGGACACAGUAGGCAUGUAAGUUUACCGUGUGGGUCUGAAUUGAAUUUGUGUUGCGUUAUACGUGGUGUUCGCCUCUGUCACCCAUCCUCAUUCUUAAAUGUCUUCAUCUCCUCUGCUGCUAGCUUAUUAGGCUCAAAGCACACAUCCUUGAACAGAGAAUACGGAAUACUAUGGACACGUUCUUGCGAAAGGAACAGAACCGAAGGAGCAAAAUGUAAUCAAUUUUCACUUGUUUCCGAAUUUCAUUCCCAGUUGGCUAACUGGACCGCGUGAAUUUUCUUGGUUACUCCUGUAAACCGGGACGGAUGCUCAAAAUCCUCACUUUUCAGCUUUUUUAGGAAAGAAGAAAGGGCACUCUGUUAUAGAUGGAUGUAUUUUAUGUGCCAUAGCAGAGUAUAGAUGCUUAAUCACUUUUCAUUACACUGUAAUUUUUAGAUUUAGUAUUAGCGGGGUAUUUAUAGAGCAGCAUUCUCCCGUAGAGCUUUCUGAGACAAUAGACAUGAAUUUUACUGAUAUAUUUAUAAUGACUUCAAGUAAUAGCCACUAGCCACAUUGAAGAGUUUCAAUGUGGCUAGUGUGACAUAGGAACUGAUUGCUAGUUGAUUUCAGCGUAAAGAGCCACCACUAGCUAGGGGCAAAGGUAUUGGACAGCACAGCUACGGAGGAUUCGCUUAUGGUUAAGUCUAGUACUUGACAGGUAAACGUUUAGGCUGAAGUUAUUCUGCCUUUACAAGAAAAAUCUUGAUUCAUUUCCUAGGGCCUAACACUGUGCUUCUCGUUCAUAGAUUAUAAGGUGUUUACUAGGUGAUAUUUUCGACCUGUAUGAGGUCUUCAUAUUAUAGAGCAUUUGUCUGUGUGUUCUGGGAACUUGCCACGUAAUUCAUGUCAUCUCCCUUUUUUUAGGAGCAGAGUGGAGUGAUUAUGAAUAGUUGUAAUUAUGAGUAGCUACAAGUCAAAGGGAUUUGAGCCCUUGACCUGUAAACUGAAUGAAAGUCCCAUAAGCAUAAUCAUUACUUCUCUAAGAUGUGUUGUGAAAAGCAGGCACUGUGUUUGUCCUGCUGACCCUUGUAUCCCUGGUGCCUCAUACAGUAUCUGACACAUACCAAGCGUUUAUAAUUAGUUGUCGAAUGGAUGAAUGUUCAAGUAGGUUAACCCCUCUAAUGUGGCUUCAGAAGGUACAUGUAUAGAGCUGAACAAGAGGCUGAGUACCAGUAACUACACCGUAUUUAUGGUUCUUCCAAGGAACGCAGUCUUUCCCAGGACGUUAUUGUUCACUCAGUGACUUUGAUUUCUUCCCUGUAAGGUAUGUAGCAGGACUUGUGAUCCUUUAUUGAUAACACAGAAGUAAAGUCAUGAGAAGAUUGGUGGUCAGGUCAUACAGAGAGAGUUGGAAGCGUAAGUCAGAUUGAAGUAGUUCCUUCUAUUGCCUUCUGCACUCGUCCCCGAUUCUUUUUCAGUGAAAUAAACUCAUGGCACUGAGCUAUGUUAGAAAAUUUGGUUUGUAAAGUUGAAGGUAAUUAUGUAUGUUAAUAGAGUCUGAAAACAGCUCUGAAAAUACAUCUAGUAUGGCAUGACAUGGAGAAAAGAGCUUCAACAUGAGAAACAGGAACGGAAGCAUUUAUUUCUUAAAUCUCUAAAUCUCAGUCUGUGGUAAUCCUAACACCCAGGUUAUAAAUUUCUCAAAGGGAAUAUUUAAAAACGUAAAUAGAAACAGAUGUUUAGGUUGUGCAGAUAACCACUACCAGGCUUUGAAAUAUUUAUGUCGAAAGGUACUAUAUACAUCAAACAUCUGUUCAGAACGAGAGCCCCGAGGCCCACAAUUGUAGAUUUCAUUUCAUGUGGUGGGUGCUGUAUUGGGGAGUUGAUGACGGAGCCCGAUAUGUGGUCUGGUGCUUGUCGAAGGUGGUGCACAGGCUGCUGUCACGGCUGUGCCUCAGACUUCCCUUCCUCGUGGUGUGAGGUGUGGCUGGGUUACAGGCUCGUCCUCAUGCCUAGGACGCAGGCUAGCUUCCUAUUUUUCUGCCACUGUGUGUUCCACAAAUGAAAACUAAGUUUAUACUAGAGUAAGUAAAAUAUAUUUGAAAAUGCAAAUCUAUCAUUUAGAAAAGAUCACGUGAUACAUUCCAAGAUAAAAACAUGAAGUGUAUUUUUCGGGGGGGGGGGGGAGUGGGGAGGGGAGGGCAACUUUCCCUUUAGCGAUUUCUGGCCUCUUAAUCCAUGGCUCUUUACACACAUUUGGUGUGUGCUUCUUUGAUGUCAGUGGUAGUGGGGGGAGGCCCCAAAACUGUUAACCACGUGUCCCAUAAAUUUGGGGACCCUUAAAACCAAAACCAAAACACGACUAUAACAAGACAAAACUAACCUCUCCUGUCAGCAACAAAAGUUAACCCAAGCAAUCAAUUAAAUGUAAAGGACUGUGAGAUUUGAGUUGUGUAGAGGUCAGUAACAUGAAGGGUUUUUUUUUUUUUUGAAGGCAUUAAAUGUAAAUUAUUCUAGAUAAAAGAAUUUAUAUGUGUUUAACCAUGUAGCAAUAAUAAAAGAAUUCAUAUUGCAGUAGGUCAAGAUGGAUGUAUUUGUCUAGAAGAUCCUGUGGGACCACUUCGGAUUCAGGUGUGUAGUUAAAGAAUCAUUUCAGGUUUAUUGAGAACUGUCCCUAGUGACGUCGGUCACUAACUUGGUAUAAUAAUUGAGGGAAGUUAACUGGUUUCAUUUCUUUUUCUCCUCACUGGGGUGGGUGGAUUGGAUCACUGGUUCCCAGACUUAGCGUGCGUUAGGCUCACCCAGGGCUUGUUAAACCCAGAUUGUCGGACCCCCAGCCCAGAGUUUCUGACUCAGCGGGUCUAGGGUGGGCCUCACGAUCUGUAGUUUUUGCAAGUUUCUAGGAGAUGCUGCUGCUGGCCGGGACUACAUUUUGAGAACCACUGGAUCAGAUCAUCUUUUGUAAAGUUGUAUAAUCUUGGGCCUGUUUCUUCGUUUUUCAAGUGGCAGGCACCUGUCCUUUGAAUUCUGCAGUAUCGUGUCCUUUAAAGAUUGCUGGAUGGCAGACUGAGUUAUAAAAGUUUAAAAUGGAUUAAUUUAAUUUUAUGAGAAUUCAGGUAUUUUACAAAAUCUUUGGAUCUGUUCAAAUUUAGAUUGGGUAUUCUCACCCAGUAGUCAAGGUCCCCAGUUAAAUUAUACUGAAAUAUUUCCGAUGUUAUUAAAAGACAACACUAUUCUCUGUUUCUUAAACCUGAAUGUUCUAUCAAAUAUAACCAAGCAACUUAUAAUAGCUCCAGGAUAUGAUGGAGCACAUUACGUAAUUGGGAGCUCACUAAAUAAAAUGGUGUUUAUGAGACAAAGCUCCUUUCCGAGUUAAAACUCUGUGAGUUUGGGUUCUUGGUAGAUGGAUAGCAUUAACCUGGACAUCCUUCCAAGUUAACUGCUUUAGCAGAAGAGUCACGGCUACAGGAAGGAGAUGCUCAUUAGGGGAUUAAGAGUAAGUUGUCACGGCACGGCCAUUCCCUGUCUUGAGGACUUUGGGCAACAGCGGAGGCUCUGCAGUUUGUAAAUGAGGAGCAUUUCGGGCUAAAAUCUGGUAGGACGGCCGUGGAGCCAGGAGAUGUCAUAAAGCAGUCCUUGCAGGUCACGUGUACGGUUCUUACCCAGAGUGUGUGUUUAUUUUUGUGGUGGUGGUGGUGGUGGUAGGGGGAAGUAGUGAAGGGGCUUUGGGGAGGGGUUGGUGGCGAUUCUAAGGCAUUCUGACAGGUUGUGCUCUGCAAAUAUUCCAUAUUAAACUAGACUCCCAGGUGCCAAGAGCCAGAUGGACUCACAGUCUGAGGUGAGUUGAAGUGAGGAUUCACAGUACAUUCUAAUGUGAGUGAAUUUAUGGGAGAAGAAAGGAUAGCAAGCAAUUUUUUUUUAAAUUUUUUUUAAUGUUUAUUUUUUCUUGAGACAGAGACAGAGUGUGAACAGGGGAGGGGUGGAGAGAGAGGGAGACACAGAAUCCGAAACAGGCCCCAGGCUCCGAGCUGUCAGCACAGAGCCCGACGCGGGGCUCGAACCCACGAACUGGGAGAUCAUGACUUGAGCUGAAGUCGGAUGCCCAGCCACUGAGCCACUCAGGUGCCCCAGGAUAGCAAGAGUUUUUAAGGGAAAAAUCUUGCCUGAGAGCGAGGAAAUAAAAAAGAAAUGGGUGAGGUGUAGGGGAUGGCAGGGUAAAAAUGAAAGGUUUUAAGUUUUUUAAAUGUUCUGAAACUGUGUGUAUGUCAAGACUAGUUAAUAGCACAGGGUUCUUUGUUAGAAAAUAACUUAAUGAGUUUUCCUUUUAAUUUCCAGUGAAUGCUUCAAGAUACCACCAGAUGCUAUUAUUUGACUUCUCUCGCAUGCCUUUCCAACGUUAUGCCCAAGAUCCACACAGUGCUUACUUUUUUAGAUUGCUUUAUGAUCGUUAACUUGUUUAAAUCAAAUUCCUGGAAGGCACACGCAGUGUUUAUUAUUGGAUGUGUUUUAUGGAUUAGGAAGCAAAUCAUUUGUGUAGCACAGGCCACAAAUCUGGGCGGAGGCCAUGAGAUCUCACUGCUUUUCACGUCUGCUGGUGUUAAUUUUAUCUUGAAAUUCUCUGUUUUCUAACUGCUUUUAUAAAAUGAUUGAACCUUAAAUCUUAAAGUUGAGUCAGCAUCCAUAUAAUUGAUUUUAGACUGUAUUUCAAGGAAAGGGCCUUAGAUUUUGAUAUACUGUUUAUUUCUUUGAAAAGGACCACACGUGACUUGCUGCUCGUCAUUUCUUGACUUCAACAUCUGUGACAUAAUCUUCGGAACUAAAUCUGUGACACUGGUUUGAAUUCUUUAGACUUGAGAGUUUGAGGCUGGGGUUGGCAGUCUCUGUAUGACAGGAGUGCUGGGGGGGAUGGCCCUUGGACCAGUUUUCACUCAGCAGUGGGAGGUGGGGUGUGCCGCUGUGUUACCUCCCGCCUUCCCCUUCCUCAGCAUCUUUUAAAAGCCUCCUGUGCUUCGGGGAGUUAAGACACUUAGUGUUUUUCUUGUAUUUAAUCACAUUAGCACCGGGCAACAUCGUCUUUGCCCUUGUCACAUGUCUUCAGUUUCCUCUCUUCCAACUUGUGUCACUUCUUUUCUUAGUUAGGCAUCUAGCUUCUCAGGAUGACUUCUGGUCGGCCAAAGCCCCCCAUCUCUGGAUUUCCUUCAUGAUCCUGUCUCCACGUGUUUCUCUUCUUCCUUUCCCUGCCAGUUCUCUCCUUGUGCUGUGGCCGAUUUUAUUUAGUUUGGUGGAAAGGGUAUUAAGGUAGAGUAGUGUUAGUAACUGUAAGAACGAUUAGUGGGUACGUGCCCCUUGGGAUGCUCUGCUAAGCGCUUCGUGUUCUUCCCACGGGAUCCUAGUUCCCACUUGCUACGGUACCGUGGGGGAGAAUGUCCAACUCUGUGGCAUAGGCUGUCAUCUGGAAAACGGGGGCUUGGUGGAGUAAGGUGUGUCUGGCCCUACAAUGUUGUGAUUGAGUUUAUUCACCCUCGAAGGAAUACUUCAGCUUUCUGAAAGAUACCUGUUACUCAAGACUGGCGUCUCAGUGUAGGGGUGUUGCUGCUCAAUCCCAGGAGCAGGAUCCAGGACUCCUUAUUUCAGACUGCCUGCAGUGUGGCCGGCCUUCUUUUUCCUUCAGAAGCCAGGGAGGAGCCUCAGGGGACCCUUCUCCAUACUUGUGCCAUCUACAGUAGAAGACCUGAAAACUGAACCUGAACACUCCACUUUGGAAAGGUUGUUGACCCCGAUUUGGAAGAUUUUGCCACUUCUCAUCUCCAUGGUGGUGACAUUCUGCUUCUGAAGACAUCUUUUUUCAUUGAUGGUUCAUUAGGAGAGUUUCUGGGAACCUGCUUAAUUCUUCUGUUAAUUCUUGAAGAGCUUAUUAAAAAACGCUACCUCACAGGUUUUCUCUUGCAAAAUUAUACGUGGUCUGUGACCUUGAGUGCCUGUUUCCUAUUUCUAGGGGAAUUUUUGUUAGUACUGAAUCUUUCUGUAAUGUUCACAGCUACGCCAAGCUACUUAUCUGUUCAUUGUCAAGGCCACUGACAAUUGUUUUGCUUUCUGCUUUCGUAUUGAUGUAUCAUGCAUUCAUUGCACGUAUUGUCCAUUUUCUAAAAAUCUAUGAUUAUCUUUUUUGUUUCUUUAUGUUUCCAGAGAGAUUAAUCAUUGCUGUGCUAGGAACACUUACUUACUCAGCUUUGUCUUUAGUGUUGUUCAUAUUCCUUCAGCUUUUCCUACUUUUUUAGUUUUUCAAAAUUGUAUGGUACCUAAUUCUUAGAGGCUCUAUCCCAAAGGAAUUUGUGAGGACUCUUUGAAUUUUAGGGAUUACUGCCCAAGGAUGCAAGUAUUUGGUAGCAACAAGUGAAAAGUAUUUUCUUUUAAAUUCAUUUAUUUUUUUGAGAGAGUGAGAGUGCAUGCACAUACACGGGGGAGGGGCACAGAGAGAGGGAGAGAGAGAAUCCCAAGUAGGCUUCACACUGUGAGUGCAGAGCCCCACGCGGGGCACUGUCUCACGACCUUGAGAUCAGACCUGAGCUGAAAUCAAGAGUCGGAUGCUCAACUGACUGAGCCACCCAGGCACCCCAAGUGAAAAGUCUUUUUAAAUAGAAUGCUAUUCAUAGGCUUUCUUUGGACUUUAUCUUUAAAAUCUGUGGUCUAGUUGAUUAUGCCUUUUAGUUGGUUUGUGAACAGUUAACUGUGGUUGCUGUGUUUAUAAGCUUCUCCUAUUUUCAUGACAAAAGGUAUAAAAAUCCUGUUUUUCUCCCACUCUUAAAGGGUUCAAAAUUAAAAUUCUUUCUGCUACAAAUUUAAUUCUUCUGAAAGGGAACAUAGGAGUUUGCUCUUUGCCAUUUAUACUUGUUACUACCUAACUAGUAGUUUGGAACAAAGACUUUGUAGGCUUAGUGAAUCAGUAUGCUGUUCAGUCCUUUCAUAUCAGCUACAGAAUAUUUUUCAGUAGUAGCAGAAACAACAGAAAUAUCCCAACAACAGAUUUGCUUUAAAAAGAUUUUUAAAUGUUUAUCCAGAUAAGAAAUGCCUCCCCAUAGCUGAAGAACAUUUGCUCCUAUGUGUGUGGGGUGGGGAUGGGAAAGUGGUGGUGAUGGUGGUGUCCUGGCUUAUCCUGGGCUCAUUCUGUGUCUCAUGGUCCCAGCCCCUUAACCCCAGGAAGGGCCCAGCAGUUUUAGAGGACAUUGGCAGUGGGACCCCGAGAGGGACUGGAAACACCCUUCUCCUUACUGCGUUUCGUUCUUGUUUUUGCAGGGUACUCGUUGUUUGAAAGCACUGAAAUGCAAUUGUAUAAAUACACAUAUUGCUUGCUUACAUCUUUUUGGAUCAUUGUGCUCUUUUGGAGUUAAGGGAUCUAAACUCUGGGAAGAUUACUAAUUAGGAACAGGUCAGGUCCUGGACAUUCCUGGUAAAAUCCAGUGUAUUUUGGAUUGCAGCACUUUUCUGUGUUACUUUUCAUGCAUUGGAAUCCUCCUAAUCCUGGACCUGGAGUCUAGGAGCAGGCCCUAGUUAAGUAUGUCCUCUCUGGGCAACUUUUGUGUCCAAAAGUAAACCAAAGAAAACAAACAAACAACGCUUAAAGAUGUCUGGGAUCCAUCUGAAAGUGUUGUGUGAUGUUGUCACACCAUGGCCUUGGGAUACUGACAAGCCAUUUUCGGCCAUUCCUCUCUUUCUUGUUUAUUCUUUUUUUCUUCCUGUGUUCUUUACUGUCUUCACUUCUUUCCCUUUUGCCCGCCCCCCCCCUUUGGGUUCUUUUCUGUUUCUUCUGUUCUUCCUUUCUCCUUUCCCUUUGCCAUUCCUGGUAUGGAUAGCCUAGUGACGCCCUGAAGUUACUGUAGGCAUUUUUUUUUAAGCUAAUGGCAGCCCAGAGCUAAAUACAAGUUUUCCUCUACGAUUCUGUGCUGAUGCAAACGAUCUCUGAAGAGUUUCAUAUGUUUAUAUAGCAUAUUCUAUGUUGAAUGGAAAAUAUUAUGUGAGCUAUAUUUCAUAUGGAUGUUCAGAUUUUGUGCUCAAGGACAUUCUGCCAAAAUUUAGGUAAUAGUAAUCAUACAGAUAAUGAACUUCAGGAUUCUUUCUAUUUAUGAAAUUGUUGGUAAACGGCGAUGUUGUCUGAGUUAACGUAAUGAUUUUAAAUUGCUUAAGCUUGGGGUAGUUGGGUGGCUCAGUUGGUUAAGUGUCCGACUUUGGCUCAGGUCAUGAUCUCGUGGUUCGUGAGUUCGAGCCCCACGUCAGGCUCUGUACUGACAGCUUGGAGCCUGUAGCCUGCUUCAGAUUCUGUAUCUCCCUCUCACUCUGCUCCUCCCCCACGUGUGCUCUCUCAAAAAAUAAAUAGACGUUAAAAAGAAUUUUUUUUUUUAAAUUGCUUAAGCUGUAACAAAGUUUGGUGAAAAAAUGUGACAGUCGAAUGGGUUGUAAAUACGCGAUGAUUACUUAUGCCAUUCUCAAGGGAUCAGAGUAUAUUCUAGUUCCAGUGGCUUCACAGCUGAUUGAAUGCCUCUUCUUAUUUUAUAAAUAAGGCAGCUUACUUAAUUUUACACGGCUGGUUAGUGGCAUAGAUGACCACAGUUAGGUUUUCCACUUCACUAUCCACCCUGCUUUUUUGGACAGAAAGUUUAAUUUAUGAAAUUUCGAGGUAAAAUGGGCAGAGAAGCCUGAGAAGAAUGUACACAUUCUAAACCUAGCUUGGCUUGAAUUUAUUAGUUAUGAGGUGUUGGAUGAGGUGAUUAACUUCUCUGGAUGCCAGGUUUUGGACAGAUGUACUUGAAGCUCCCCUCCAGGACGGUGACUUGUACUCAGGUGAGAAAAAUGAAAGAGACACAGGUUUUCUUGUCGUGCAUUUCCGCGAUUUCCGUGUGUGUCUUAUUUCAAGUAGAUACUGUCCCCCCCCCCCCACCCCGCCCUGCUUUUUUUGGUAGGUAUCACUCGUGUAUUUUCUUGUCAGUGAAUCAGCUUUUCUAAGGAUAUUGUGGUUGCCUCUGUAUUCAGGUGUCUCCAGCUUCAUCUUGGUUAACUGAAGUAAAAACGUUUAGAGGCAGGUCUCUCCUAGUUUCAAACUGGUGGAAGGGUACCAUAUGGGAUAUUCCAUAGGUGGAUACCUAAGAGGUGCCUUAUUCAAAUUGUUUGUAGUUUCUUACGGUGUUAGAAAGUAAUGUCAUGUAAAUAAGAUAUAAGAGAAUUUGGCUCUUCUGGUUUCUAGAGUUGCUUUAUUUGGGAUUGUGGAACAGGUUUUUCCAUUCUUAGUAGGAUAACCUGGCAUUGUUUGUGUCAGAGAGAAGACAGUUGUGACAAUCUCGAAGGAUAGGAAAGAUGAGAAGAGUUGAAAGCCUUGGAGAGAAAGAUGAGGAGGCUGGAGUGUGACCGUGAACUCUGAUCCCCUUCCCUCAUUGCUUAGAAGCAGUUACCAUGCUCUGCUUUGCCUAAAGAAACCCCUUGUUUCAGUUAAACGCUUUGGAACGCCUCUCCUGUGCAUCACAUCGAGCUGGGUGCGAGGGGAAUUACAAAAGAAUUAUCCAUGAAGACUUCUUCCUCUAGAUGUUUACCCUCCAGCUGGGUCUCUGAUGCAUAGGCCGUGAAAGGAGUGGGUGAACGUCUCAGUGCCCCAAGAGUGGUGGAGGCAGGAGAGAGAAAAGAGUGCAGAAGUAGGGAAAGACCCUGGGGAGCCAUGCAGUUGCUGCAGCCUGAAGCCCUGGUAGUUAAGGACCCCUAGAGAACUCGUUUGCAUAUUCUUUUGCCAGAGAGUGCGGGGAUGCUGUCGGGCUAGGUUAGGACCCAGGGUUGGGUGUUGGGGAAUGACCGUUGCGUGUUUUCAAGUGGCAAACGAGGAGACCCUGUGAAAGUACCAGAGCCUUUUUACCCCAUCUUUUUAUUUUGAAAGCUUGAAACCUUUAGCAAAACAGUCCCGUAAGCACACAUAUAUCCUUGUAGAUGAAACAGUCGUUAACAUUUUGCCGUGCUUUCCCUCAUGCUCACUGUAUGUGUGUCUUUUGAAUCAAAUGUGGUAAGUAAAUUUAUGUUUGCCUCACCACUUGAAUAUAAGUUUCAGAUACCAUGACAUUUCACCUCUAAAUACCUGCUAAAGGGGACCUUCUUCUAAUUAAAGCUAAUAACCGCACUACAAUGAUCACACCUAAGAAGUUUAGCAUUGAUAUAAUAACAUGGUCAAAUAUAUACGAAAUAUUUUAAUUUGGGAGUGGAAUGUGUAUUUAUUUUUGUUUUUAAAAUCAGGAAGACUUAUCUGGCACAGUGUGUGUUGAAUGAACUGGUGGGGCAAGACUCAAACUGGUUUGUACAUAUUUAAAAAGUCACGUAUAGUCAUAAAAAUAGAAAGACGUUCACUAUUUUCUUGAAUAUAUUCAUGAUCUAUUCAUGAUACAAUCUUAAGUAAGAACAAGACAUGGGAGAGUGUCAAAAAGAGAAUUUAUAGGGGCUCCCGAGUGGCUCAGUCGGUUAAGUGUCUGACUCUUGAUUUUAGGUCAAUAUAUGUAAUUUACAUUGCAUAUAUACAUAUGCUGCCUUUGAUGAUAAAAGAGAAGUGUGUUUAAAAAGCUGCUAAGAGAAAAUGAGUGUUUAGGAAUAAUGUCUUUUUUCUUUAAAGGCAGAUUCUUGGGUUUUAUUGCUGAUUGUAUGAAGGUUAACAACCUUUUUGAGAAUAUACCAGAAAUCUGUUUUAUUGGUAAAUUUUUUCCAUUUGAUAGCAAUUUGAUUAUUUCAUGUGAUGAUUUUUAUAGAAUCGUAUAGUGAAUUUGUGUGAUACUUAUCUUUAAAAAAUAACUUUUCAAUGUUUUGAAAUACAUUGCAUGAAAGGUUAAAAUUAAUUUUGGAGUUAACUCAGCCACAGUUUAUUUUCUGUUGUUGUAUGAUUAACAAAGUUAUUGAUUGGUACUUAGUACCUUUUUCUUUUGAAGGCCAGUGUUUAUUAAUUAGUGAGUGUUGAAUUGCUCCCAGUGUCCAUUAGGCAUCCUGUGGUUAAUAAAGACAGAUAGCCUACUCUUGAUAGAUGCUUCUGGAAAGUUAACUUGUCAACAGUGGUAGUUAAAUUCCUGUCAGGGAGGGAAGCCCCUGAUUGCUGGGACAAGCCUUCAAGAGGAAAGGAACUCCAGGCUGCUUAAUCAGGCACCUAGGGUGUGACUUUGCAGAUGAAGAAAUCUGAUUUUGCUAGUUCAUUCAGAGUUGAUGGGGAAUGUGAGACUGAAUGAAGCCUGCCAAACAAGCUUACAGGAGACUGAACUUCCAUGUGUUAAUUUGCAGUGGGAGAUGUACUAUGGCCAGCUGUAAAUUUGUUGAAAGGAUGACAUUUGGAUCAUAACUUUACUUGGUGAACACAGAAAUAAGAUGGGGGGGCAAAUUAGAUAUUUUCAAUUGCUAUUUCCAUCAAGUCAUUAGAAUUUGAUAGAGGACUUUUCAUUUAUUUGUUACCCCAGGGGCUAUUCUGCUUAGAAACUGGGGCCUGGGGUACCUGGGUGGCUCAGUUGGUUCAGUGUCUGGCUUUUGAUUUUGGCUCAGAUCAUGAUCCCAGGGUUGUGGGAUCGAACCCUGUGUUGGGCUCCAUACUUGCUUAAGAUAUGCGCCCCCCCCCCCCCCACCAAGCUUCAGAGUCUGGGUGGCUCCGACUCUGGAUAUUGGCUCACAAUCUUUCAGUCCUGGGAUGGAGCUCCGCUGUUGCUUGGGAUUCUCUCUCCCUCUCUCUUCCUCUCCCCCAGCUUGGGUGCACACUUGUGCACUCUUGUUCUCUCUCUCUCUCUCUCUCUCUCUCUCAAAAAUAAAUAACCUUUAAAAAAAAAAAAGAUUCUCUCUCUCUCUCCCUCUGCCAAUCGCACAUGCGCGUGUGCUUGCUUGCUCUCUCUCUCUAAAAUCAACAACAACAACAAACCCAAAACAAAACUGGGGCCUAAAAUUAGAGCCUCUUUAGUAUAGUGUGGUGCUAGAUAAGAACAGGAUGAAUUCUUUUCCAGUUCCCUUUGUAAUCAGUUACCAAAGGCCCCAUAGCCUUAUUUAUGCCGGGUACAUUAUAAUACAGUAGGGAGACAAUAAUAAUAGUGAGUGCUUAGCACGUGUUGGGCAUUUUACUAAAAUAUUUUUCUUCUGUAAUUCCAUUAAUCCCAUAAUAGCCCUAGGAAAUAGGCACUAUUAUCAUUCCCACUUCAUAGAUGAGAAAAUCAAAGUUUAGGAAAGCUUGGGGCUUAGAGCCCAAGUUCCAAGCCAGGUGGCCUGACUCUGGAGACGCUUAUGAUCUUAGCUCAUGAUAGAAUUUCUUUUGCACAUAGCAACUUCUUUCCAGUUGUGUUUUCCUUAGGAUAUAGCGUGGUCAUUUUGAGACCCCUCAUCUCCCAAGUGAACACGUAGGAAAUGUACUUAAUGUUAAAAUAUUUAAGCACUAACUCUUAGGGUAGUUUUUUUUUUUUUUUUAAGAUGCUGAUUUUAAUCUAUGAUAAUUCUGAAUAGUUUCAUUUGGAGGAUGGACCAUUAAAAAUUUAAAAGGUUGCAAAAACCCCCAAACAUAAUGCAAAGAACAGCUAUUUUUAGUUCACCUGUUAACAUUUGGUGCCUAUUUUCUUGCUCUCUGUAUUUAUGUAUAUAUGUGUGUGUUACAUGUAUAUUUUUUUUUCUGAGUCAUUUGGGAUGUUACAUAUUGCAUGACCCUUUAUCUCUAUUUCAGUGGGCAUUUCCUAAGAACAGGGAUUUUUGGUUAUAUACAGUUACUACCUCAUAAAUUUAUGUCGUUAAAUUAGUUUCAUCUAAUCUGCUAUACAUAUUGUGAUUUUAUCAGUUAUCCUAAUGAGGUCCUUUUUAAAAUAUAUUUUCUUAAAGUUUAUUUAUUUUGAGAGAGAGAAAAUGGAGGAGGGGCAGAGAGAGAGGCAGAGAGAGAUAAUCCCAAACAGGCUUCACGCUGACAGCUCCAGGCGUCAACUCAUGAAUUGUGAGAUCAUGACCUGAGCCCGAGUCGGACGUGCAACCGACUGAGCCACCCAGGUGCCCCCUAGUAAGGUCCUUUGUAACAUUUUUUCCCCCUGUGGUAGGAGAUCCUGUCUAGGGUUAUAUGUCGUAUUUAGUUGUCGUAUCUGUUUGUAUCCUUUAAUUUGGAAUAUUUCUACAAUUUCUUUGUCUUUUUUUAGAUUGACAUUUUUGAAGAAGAUAAUCAUGCCUGUCCUUUUUUUUUUUUUUUUAAUAAUAGAAAUUUUUUCAUUGUGUGUUUGUCUGAUGUUUCCUCAUCUUUAGAAUCAGGUUAUGGGCCAGAACUUACCUUUUCCCCUUCUUAAUAAGUUUAUCGUUUUUAAAAAUCAGGAAAUUAACACUCAUGUAAUAAUAUUAUCUAAGUACAGACCUUACCAGAUUAUACAUUACAUCUAGUCUUAUUUUAUCUGGAACGAUUUCCCUGUCUGACUUUCAUGGCAUUGACAUUUUUGGAGAGUAUUAGCCAAUUAUUUCUAGAAUGUUCUUCAAUUUUGGUUUGUUUGAAGUUUCCUCUUGGUUAGAGUCAGGUUUUGCACUUUUGGCAGAAAUGCUGCACAAGGGACAUUGUGUUUUUCUCAGUGCGUCAUACUUGGAGUCACAUGAUGUCUGUCCCACUGAUGGUGAUACUCAUUUUGCUUAUUUGGUUAAGGUUCUGUCUGUUAGGUUUGCCCAGCGUAAAGCUACUCUUUCCCUCUUUACAGACAAUAACUAUCUUGUGGAGUGAUUUUUUAGUUAAUGUCCUAAUUACUCCUCAAACUUUUACUCAUAGGCUUUAGAAUCCUUGGGUGACUCUUGCCUGAACUGGUUAUUCUUAUGAUGCCCACUGGUGAUUUAACAUGCCAUCAUUCCCGGGGCGCCUGGGUGGCUCAGUCAGUUGCACGUCCGACUUCAGCUCAGGUCAUGAUCCUCACGGUUCGUGAGUUCGAGCCCCGUGUCCGGCUCUGUGCUGACAGCUCAGAGCCUGGAGCCUGCUUCAGAUUCUGCAUCUCCCCCUCUCUCUGCUCCUCCCCCGCUCGUGCUCUGUCUCUCUCUCUCUCCUUCAAAAAUAAAUAAAAACAUUUAAAAAAAAGAUGCCAUCAUUCCCUCUUCAUUUAUUUUUUCUUCCACAAAGAAGAGUGUUCCCUUAACUCUUGUUUAUUUAUAUUGGUGUUGACUCAUGGAUUUUUACUGUAUUCUUAUUUUAUAUUAUCCUUACUUACUGCGUUGCUCAAAUUGUUCUGGAUUUGGCCAGUGGGAGCUCCUUCACGCAGGCUCCUAGGCCCUUUUGACACUGUCAUUUUUGGGCACAUCCUUCCUUUCUGGCACAGAAUAGUCCUUGUGUACUUUCUCCGUGUCAGCCCUGGAAGUGGCCACUUCUCCAUUCUUCCUGUAUGAGAAUCCCUGUUUCUCCAAAGCCUAACUGUUUGCCUUUUGCCGAUGUGGUGGGUGAGCAAUAGCAAUUCAGUGUAGUUUUAACUUCUGUGUCUUUUACGAAUUGAAUUGGACGUCUUUUCCUGAGUUUAAGGGGUAUGUAUGUGUAUGUAUAUGUGUGUGUGUAAUCAUGUUUUUGGCCCAUGUUUCUGCCAAGUUACUAGUAUUUAAUUCUUCAAUUUCAAGAGUUCUUUAUAUAUUAUGAUAUUAGCCCUUUAUCUCAUUUUAUUUAUUGUCUUUGGUUAAUGAUGUUUUUUUCUUGUCAUGCAGAUUUUAUUAAACAUUUUGGUGUAAGCGUAUUAUCAGUCUUUUCUUGUAGUCUACCUGAUUUUGAGUCAUAGUUAACAUUCUUUUCCUUAGAUCAUCGUUAGAGAAGAUUCACCACUUUUUCCCCUGUAGUACUUGGAUAGCUUCAUUGUUUUACAUUUAGAUCCCUGAUUCAUUUGGAGUCUGUUCUUGUGCGUGGUAUGAAGUAUGGGUCUAAUUUUAUCUUUUUCCAGAUGGCUAACCAAUUGUUUUAACCAUUUAUUAAAAAGUUAGUUUUUGCCCCAGUGAUUUUUAGAUGGUCCCUUUAUCACACACAGUAUUAAAGUUCCAUCUGAACUUGGGUCUGUUUUUGACUUUUUGUAUUACCACACUGAUUUGCCUGUCUACUCAUGGGUCAGCAACACACUUUUAAUUAUAGAGUCUUCAGAGUAUAAUUUAAUGUCUGUAAGGACCAGUCCUCUCCUCUAGCAUUUUAGCGUUUUCCUGACUGUUCUUGCACAUGUGUUUUUAAUAUGAGGUUUGGUAUCAAUCGUUAGCUUCAUUUAGAAGAAUUAUUGGUAUAUUUGUGGGGAUUGCAUUAAAUUUAUAAAUUAAUUUAUAGCAACUUGACAUUUUUGAUACUGAUUUGUGCUGUAUGCCCAAAUAAGAAAUGUCUUUCUAUGUGUGAAAGUAUGUGCCCUUUUAGGAAUGUUUGAAAGUUUUUCUUGGAUGGGUUUUAUACCUUUGUUGUUAAAUUUAUUCUUAAAUAUCUUACUUCUCUGUGAAAAUUGUUUUUUUUUUCACUUACUGUAUCAUGGAGAUCUGAACAGUCAUGUCGGUACGUGUAGACUUAUUUUGUUUUUUGAAAUGGGUUCAUGGUAGUGUACUGUACCCUAAUUUCAUUUAAUUUUUUCUCUAUUGGUGUAUUUUAUGUUGCUUCUGAUUUUUUCCUAUUACAAACAGUUCUGUGGAGAACAUAUUUCUACCUAUGUUUUGGCUCACUUGUGUUACUAUAUCUGUAAAAUAGAUUCCUAGAAAUGGAAUUGCUUAUUCUUAGGCCAUGUAGAAUUUUUUGGUAAUAUAUUCUACCACAUUAUCCUCCCACAUUAUUUGACACUUUUUAAAAAAUUUAUUUAUGAGAGAGAACACUCAAGGGGGAGGGGGUAGGGAGGGGAGACGGACGAGGAUCUGAAGCAGGGUGCCCGCACUGACAGCGGCGAGCCCGCUCUGGGGCUGGAACUCCGAGCCAGGAGAUGAUGACCUGAGCUGAAGUCAGAUGCUCACCUGACUGAGUUACCCAGAGGCGCCCCGAUGUGACACUUUCUAAGUCAAGUAAACUUUUAUUGUAUAUGUCAGUUGUUAAAGGACAUUCUGGGGCGCCUGGGUGGCUCAGGCGGUUAAGCAUCUGACUUUUGGUUUCGGCUCAGGUCAUGAUCUCAGGGUUCACGAGUUCAAGCCCCAUGUUGGGCUCUGUGCUGACAGUGCAGCUCCUUCUUGGAUUCUCUCUCCCUCUCUCUCUGCCCCUCUCCUGCUUACUUGCUCUUUCUCUCUCUCUUAAAAUAAAUAAA